rnacentral:rRNA from 1 species
GAUGAACGCUGGCGGCGUGCCUAAUACAUGCAAGUCGAGCGAACAGACGAGGAGCUUGCUCCUCUGAUGUUAGCGGCGGACGGGUGAGUAACACGUGGAUAACCUACCUAUAAGACUGGGAUAACUUCGGGAAACCGGAGCUAAUACCGGAUAACAUGUUGAACCGCAUGGUUCAACAGUGAAAGACGGUCUUGCUGUCACUUAUAGAUGGAUCCGCGCCGCAUUAGCUAGUUGGUAAGGUAACGGCUUACCAAGGCAACGAUGCGUAGCCGACCUGAGAGGGUGAUCGGCCACAUUGGAACUGAGACACGGCCCAGACUCCUACGGGAGGCAGCAGUAGGGAAUCUUCCGCAAUGGGCGAAAGCCUGACGGAGCAACGCCGCGUGAGUGAAGAAGGUCUUCGGAUCGUAAAACUCUGUUAUUAGGGAAGAACAAAUGUGUAAGUAACUAUGCACGUCUUGACGGUACCUAAUCAGAAAGCCACGGCUAACUACGUG